GAUUGAACGCUGGCGGCAUGCCUUACACAUGCAAGUCGAGCGGCAGCGCGGGGGCAACCCCGGCGGCGAGCGGCGAACGGGUGAGUAAUGCAUCGGAACGUGUCCUCUUGUGGGGGAUAACCAGUCGAAAGACUGGCUAAUACCGCAUGAGAUCGAGAGAUGAAAGCAGGGGACCGCAAGGCCUUGCGCGAGAGGAGCGGCCGAUGCCGGAUUAGCUAGUUGGUGGGGUAAAAGCCUACCAAGGCGACGAUCCGUAGCUGGUCUGAGAGGACGACCAGCCACACUGGGACUGAGACACGGCCCAGACUCCUACGGGAGGCAGCAGUGGGGAAUUUUGGACAAUGGGGGCAACCCUGAUCCAGCCAUGCCGCGUGUGUGAAGAAGGCCUUCGGGUUGUAAAGCACUUUCGGACGGAACGAAAUCGCACGGGUGAAUAUCCCGUGUGGAUGACGGUACCGUAAGAAGAAGCACCGGCUAACUACGUGCCAGCAGCCGCGGUAAUACGUAGGGUGCGAGCGUUAAUCGGAAUUACUGGGCGUAAAGUGUGCGCAGGCGGCUGAGCAAGUCGAGUGUGAAAUCCCCGGGCUUAACUUGGGAAUUGCGCUCGAAACUACUUGGCUGGAGUAUGGCAGAGGAAGGUGGAAUUCCACGU
rnacentral:rRNA from 1 species